rnacentral:rRNA from 1 species
AUUGGACGCUGGCGGCAUGCCUUACACAUGCAAGUCGAACGGUAACAGGUCUUCGGAUGCUGACGAGUGGCGAACGGGUGAGUAAUACAUCGGAACGUGCCUAGUAGUGGGGGGUAACUACUCGAAAGAGUGGCUAAUACCGCAUGAGAUCUACGGAUGAAAGCAGGGGAUCGCAAGACCUUGUGCUACUAGAGCGGCCGAUGGCAGAUUAGGUAGUUGGUGGGAUAAAAGCUUACCAAGCCGACGAUCUGUAGCUGGUCUGAGAGGACGAUCAGCCACACUGGGACUGAGACACGGCCCAGACUCCUACGGGAGGCAGCAGUGGGGAAUUUUGGACAAUGGGCGCAAGCCUGAUCCAGCAAUGCCGCGUGCAGGAUGAAGGCCUUCGGGUUGUAAACUGCUUUUGUACGGAACGAAAAGCCCUGGGUUAAUACCCUGGGGUCAUGACGGUACCGUAAGAAUAAGCACCGGCUAACUACGUGCCAGCCGCCGCAGUAAAAC